AGUCUGGCGCACGGCUUCAGGGGAGAUUGGCAGCUGGGUCAAACAAAGUCCUUCCAUUGGCUCCCUUCCCAGGCAGCUUCUGCUAGUGUUUAGGUACUAGUGCAGUGUAGAACCCUUUUCUCAGGCAAAACCUAACAUCUGACCGCACCCUUUUUGCUAUUAAAAAAAAAAAAAAGCUUCUAUUUUUUUCCUCCUGUCGUUAAGAUAAAUUCUCCAGUAGACAACCUCUCCCACUAAUUGUGUAUUAGCAACGUAUUUUAUCUUGAGAGCUUGUACACUGGGCUCUCAACGUGGUGUGGAAGGUAGCCUGUUACAGUGCUGGAUUCAUAAAAGGGCCUUUAUGGUUUGUGAAAGAAUAUCUGUGUGCUUAGGGAGGAAACUUUUUGAUCUGCAGAAAAGCCAGAAGACAUCUAGGACAUCCAUAAAAAUUCAUCAGAGAGCAUUUUACUACUGAGCUGCAAAGAUGACAAGAGCACCUCAAAGGCAGCAGCCUCAAGGAGCAGCCAUGGCCCCAGACUUGUCGCACGGAUGCAGAAAACUUAAUGGAGGAGGCUGAGGUCAGAAUGGGAAGAGUUUUUAAAAAAUAAAAAGGGGAGCUAAUAUGUGAGGAACUGAUUGCUG
rnacentral:lncRNA from 1 species